UGGAGCUCUGGGAGGGAGCAGGAGCGUGUGAGGACGACAUGGGUGUCCCUGCCUGUGGGUCUGCGUGUGCAGCCACUCCUGAAGAGGUGUGACCUGGACAGGCAGCCGCGGGAUUACACCAAAGAGCACUCUAUCCAGAAAGGUCCAGGAACUGGGAGGGCCAGCACCCUAGCAGAGCACAGGUGACGGACAGAUGCGAGCAUCUGGCUGCCCCAACAGGAAGCCCUCCCUGCCUGCUAAGGACCACACUCUCCGCUCUCAGAGCCACCAUCUAUCCGAAGCUCCACCUCCUCUCCUGGGCAUCCACCUCUUAGGGGGAGACACCACACCACCAUGCUCAACCGGCACCGUCCCUGGUACACAGGGGCACUCGGUGAAUGCUGGAGCUCACAGCUAUCUGUGUUCCAAGAUGGAGUGACUGUGUGAGUUAGGGUCUGCGUCCCCUCUGGUCCCAGGAAGGCAUGAUGAGUCUGUUGUGUCUCCUGUUUCCUCAGUGCCUGGCAGAAACACUGCCACAGGGAAUGAAUGAAUGAACAAUGAGUGGGUGAAUAAACGAAAGAGCACAGAUCUGUAGGAUCUGAAUCAUGUUUUCA